rnacentral:rRNA from 1 species
UACGUAGGGGGGCAAGCGUUGUCCGGAUUUAUUGGGCGUAAAGAGCGUGUAGGCGGCCUGAUAGGUCGGUUGUGAAAACUGGAGGCUUAACCUUCAGACGUCGGCCGAAACCAUCUGGCUAGAGUCCGGAAGAGGAGAGUGGAAUUCCUGGUGUAGCGGUGAAAUGCGCAGAUAUCAGGAAGAACACCCGUGGCUAAGGCGGCUCUCUAGUACGGUACUGACGCUGAGACGCGAAAGCGUGGGGAGCGAACAGG